rnacentral:rRNA from 1 species
CCUACGGGGGGCAGCAGUGAGGAAUAUUGGUCAAUGGACGCAAGUCUGAACCAGCCAUGCCGCGUGCAGGAAGACUGCCCUAUGAGUUGUAAACUGCUUUUGUACGAGGGUAAACGCAGAUACGCGUAUCUGUUUGAAAGUAUCGUACGAAUAAGGAUCGGCUAACUCCGUGCCAGCAGCCGCGGUAAUACGGAGGAUUCAAGCGUUAUCCGGAUUUAUUGGGUUUAAAGGGAGCGUAGGCGGUCUGAUAAGUUAGAGGUGAAAUCUCGAGGCUCAACUUCGGAAUUGCCUCUGAUACUGUUAGUCUUGAGUGUAGUUGCGGUAGGCGGAAUGUAUGGUGUAGCGGUGAAAUGCUUAGAGAUCAUACAGAACACCGAUUGCGAAGGCAGCUUACCAAGCUACUUCUGACGUUGAGGCACGAAAGCGUGGGGAGCAAACAGGAUUAGAUACCCCUGUAGUC